rnacentral:rRNA from 1 species
UGAGCAAUCUGCCCUUCUCAUCGGAAUAAGCGUUGGAAACGACGUCUAAUGCCGAAUACGACCUCCUUUCGCAUGAUCGGAGGUGGAAAGCUCCGGCGGAGAAGGAUGAGCUCGCGGCCUAUCAGCUAGUUGGUGUGGGUAAUGGCCCACCAAGGCGACGACGGGUAGCCGGCCUGAGAGGGUGACCCGGCCACACUGGGACUGAGACACGGCCCAGACCUCCGUACGGGAGCAG